CAGUGUAUUUAUCUAAAAUGCCAAUCAAGCAUCCAAGGCCAAACAAAACAACACCUGUCUCCUAGAUCAGUUAGAUAGCUUUAUUUCUUGUGCAAUUUGGGUGAGACCCUCCUUUCUUACACAACCUUAGUAAUAGCCCCCUAACUUUUUACCCAACCACUUCUAGGAAUGUAGAUUGAGCACACAGAUCCCCUUUUUCAUAUACUAACCUGUGAUUAGCACUCAGGUGACCUCCUCCUUUACCACUCCCAUUUUGGGUUGUAAAAGAAAGCCUGGUGGUCACUGCCUGAGGAAAAUUCUUACCUGCCUUUAUGACCCCGUAGAAUUCAAGUCUGGUGACCUUGCUCAACCAGGGGACUGCUGUUGCUUGGGUUUAUAACUGGACUCCUGAGAGACUUAGGAGGAACAUAGAGAACCCCCUGGGAUG